rnacentral:rRNA from 1 species
AUGAGUCCACCAUACCUUCCUAUAUGCGGUAUUUACCUACCAUUCCAAGUAAAUUUGUAUGUGCCAAACUCCAAACCUUCAAAUGAAAUUUUGUUUUGUAUGCUCGAGCAGCUCAUGUUUCAACUAGGGCUACCUAUAUCUUCCAUGCUAGGUGGGUUAUUCUCAAGAGGAGUGGACUCCGCUCCUCAUUCACGAGAAAGGUCCGGUAACCGGGAUGCCCAGUCCCAUGAUCCAAAAAGAUCAAAGCAAAUCAAAAUAAUUAAACAAAACUCCCCCAGGGCUGUUGUUAGUUGGAGGCACUCGUUUUUUCGAGCAAGCCAUGGAUUGAUGCUUGUUGCUGGUGGGGGAGUAUAA